GUGGGGAAUUUUGGACAAUGGGCGCAAGCCUGAUCCAGCAAUGCCGCGUGCAGGAAGAAGGCCUUCGGGUUGUAAACUGCUUUUGUACGGAACGAAACGGUCCUGGUUAAUACCUGGGGCUAAUGACGGUACCGUAAGAAUAAGCACCGGCUAACUACGUGCCAGCAGCCGCGGUAAUACGUAGGGUGCGAGCGUUAAUCGGAAUUACUGGGCGUAAAGCGUGCGCAGGCGGUGCUGUAAGACAGGCGUGAAAUCCCCGGGCUCAACCUGGGAAUUGCGCUUGUGACUGCAGUGCUGGAGUACGGCAGAGGGGGAUGGAAUUCCGCGUGUAGCAGUGAAAUGCGUAGAUAUGCGGAGGAACACCGAUGGCGAAGGCAAUCCCCUGGACCUGUACUGACGCUCAUGCACGAAAGCGUGGGGAGCAAACAGGAUUAGAAACCCGAGUAGUCC
rnacentral:rRNA from 1 species